AUCUGAAUUCCUUCUCCCUAGGUCCAAUAUGUCCACCUGGAGGACUUAGUAGCUGCCCACCUUGUGACUUAACAAACAACAUAACAGCUGCCAGUGGAUCGUAGGUAGGAAGUCAUUUAGGGAUUCCUCAGAAUGCCAAGGAGGGAGGCAGCACAGAAUUAAAAUAAGACCAAGAGUGUGCCAACAUCCAUGGCAAAGAAUGGAGGCUACCACAGCUUGGAUGUCUGUAUCCUUAAACAUUCAUGUUUUGAGGGCUGUCAAGAAGGCUCAGAAGGUAAAGGCAGUUGCUGCCAAGCCUGAUGUCCUGACUUCAAUCACUGGAACCUACAUGGUGGAAGGAGAGAACUGAGUCCAACAACUUGUCCUCCGACUUUCAACGGGCAGUUGGUGAUGCUCUGGCCAGAAGUCAGGGAUGCCAGAAUGGAUGUCUGGAAGGAGUCCCCUUUGAUGGAAACCACGCUGAGAGCUUGACAGAAACUCGGAGAUGCAUCCAGAAAGAGAGGCCCAGAGAAGGCCAGAGGCUCAUUCAGAAUCGUGCAGCCACCUCCUGAAUCCGGACACAGUGCACCGUUCCCAGCCCCUGCCUGUGCCCCAGUGAUCUGCUCAGCUGUGGGCUUGCAAGACGUCAGAACCUGAACACAGACCUCAGAUCCCAGGAUCAGUCUGACAAAUAUCACAGGACUCGAUAUACUCAGUAAGGGAACAAAACACGGCUGUUCAGAAGACUCAUAAUACAAUUAUCCAUAAGGAAACCAAAAUUGAUGGGAUCAUGUGGACAUAGGCAGCAGCGAUCUCCCUGUGGAAGACCGUGUCUUGGUUGUAGGAAAUAAGUUCAUUACUGAUGUUUACCGUCUGCACGGGGGUCCGGAAGCAGAGGUGGCUGCACCCCAGCAGCUGGGCGAACACCUUCCGGAAGUCUGCAUUAAAGGCAUAGAUGAUGGGGUUGAGAGAGGAGUUGGCCCAGCCAAACCAGACGAAUAUGUCGAAGGUGGUCUCGCUGACACAAGGGAAGCCAGUCCUUGGGCCCUGGGCAUCUCCACUGCUGCAGAAGGGAACCAUACAGUUCAGGAUGAAGAAAGGCAACCAGCAGCACACGAAGACCCCCAUGAUCACGGACAGGGUUUUGAAGACCUUGGUCUCCUUCUUGAUGGAUGCUCGCAGGCUGGGGUCAGGUUCGCAGGCCCCACGGCUCCGGCAACUCUGAGCAUGCUCAGCUGCCCUUUCUAGGGAGGAGAUACGGCGGAUCUGAACCUGUGCAAUGCGGUAGAUGCGCGUGUAGGUCACUAUCAUGAUGGCUACCGGGAUAUAGAAGCUGAUGAGCGACGAGGAGAUGGCGUAGGUUCGGUUCAGGCUGGAGUCACAGUUCUCUGUUCUCCCGUCUAGCUCCCAACCUUCCUCCCAGGGUGUCUCAUUGGACAGCAGGCCCUCUCGGCCCUGGGAGCCUGCCUUGUCUCUGUGCCAAUUGAGUUGGACCGGGAUAAAGGAGAUGAGGAUGGACAAGGUCCAGGCCAGGGCCACCAUGACCAGGGCUACACGCUGGGUCAUCUUGCGCUCGUAGCGGAAGGGUCUGGAAAUAGCCCAGUACCGGUCCACGCUGAUGAUACACAGAUUCAGGAUGGAAGCAGUGGAGCACAUGAUGUCAAAGGCCACCCAGAUGUCGCAGAAUGCCCCAAAGGGCCAGUACCCGGCCACCUCAGCCACGGCCUUCCAAGGCAUGACCAGCAAUGCCACGAAGAGGUCUGAGACGGCCAGAGAUACGAUGAAGAUGUUGGUCAUUUUGGCGCGCAGGUGGCGGCUGCGGACGAUAGCAGCACACACUAGGACGUUGCCGAGCAAGGUCCAGACGAUUAAGAGAGUCAGGAGGCCAGCGGUGACCACCUGCGCGGGUCCCAGUGGGGCUGCUGAGCCCCCGGGGGCGUCCACCUGCGCCAGUUGCCUCUGCAACCCCAGCCGCGCCCGAUGUGCGGUGCCAUUGCGCCCAGGAGGCAGCAUGUCGCGCUGGGUAGCUCGGGCUCACUGCGUGCGAUCCCAACUUCGCCCCUGCGCCCCGCGGAAGGCCCCAUCGGGCACCCCAGAGGGUGCUCCCGGCCCUGCAGCUGACCGUCCCCAGACCCGAGGGGCGCUCACCCUGCACUGCUUGGGAUCCUUUAAUGGUAUCAGUCUUGCGCGCCUCUAGUCCCCAGGAUGGGACAGGAAGCGACCGGUGCUCGCGGGCCGAUCCUGUCGGCAGCGCGCCGGACGGCGGCUGCCGCUGCGUCUGGUUCUGAGUCGUAGAAACGCAGAGCGGCCGCCAACGGGGGCGGGGUCCAGAGUCGCGGGCACCGGGCGAUCUCUCUAGCGCGGUGGCUGCCACGGCACGGGCGCCCGCCCGCUCCUAUCAGCCACGCUUCUGCGGCCCGCGCGCCCUCCCACCUGCGUCCUGGAAUUGUGACUCUGCUGUCUUCUUCCAACUUUAGAGGCCACACACAGAUCCGAGAGUGGCCUCGGUGCCAUACCCUCGCCCCAAGCCCAGGAACUGGCUUCUCCCAAACACCAGGUGCCUCUCCUGGACCACCUCUGGGUGAAGAAGUGGAUCGCAGAGGCCUCUAGACAAACCAGACUUGGAGAAUAAGGGGAAGGCCUUCGAUGUCACAACCUUAUCCCAAACCCCUAUUCUGGGUCACAGGACCCUGAAUUCUCUACUCAGCUUUUCUGGUUCUUGGUUUCUUCUCCUAGAAAGAGAGACAAAAAGGUCCCCUUCCUGGGUGCGCAAGGAUUUGAGAGAAUCACCCAGAAGGUAAUCCGGUGUUGCCUCCUGUUCCCGCUGCUUGCCCUCCUCCCAGAAGCACUUGCGCUUUGAGCAUCUCCCUGGGGCCCUUGCAUCUGAACCUCCAAUACCUUUGCAUCUUUCACCUUGCUCCCAUCUUUCUGCUGGGGGAGACGGACAGACCACCUGUCCGCGUGCCAGAGCGCGAACUGGACAGUCAUCCUUCACUCGUGCCUCUCCUCUCUGUGGCUGGUGGCCUUGUCUCUGGUUUCAUUAAGAUGCUUUAAAAAUCUGCAGCUCCAUCAUCCAUUGACACCCAAGCACUUGCUGAUGGGAGAGGUACAGCAAUUCACGUCAUAGAAGGAAAAGUUUUGCACAGAGAAGCAAGAGAGAACCAGAUCAACCAUGGACUCUGUUUCCCAAUGUCCACAAAACUGCUGUUCAUGUCAGAGGCACAGCUACAACCUAUAGAUCUUGCUUAGGCCUUGGGGAUAAAGAGAGAACCAUAGACCUGCUCAUUCCCAUCUGGGCCUUGGCUUCUAAGAAGAGACAAAUAAUAAGAGGUUUGGAUUGAGGGUGUAUCUCCGUGACAGAACAGGAGUGCAUGAGGCCUGGGGUUCAAUCCACAGCAC
rnacentral:lncRNA from 1 species